GCCUGGUUAGCUCAGUUGGUAGAGCAUUAGACUUAAUCUCAGGGCCAUGGGUUCAAGCCCCAUGUUGGGUG
rnacentral:tRNA from 1 species